CAGCCGCCGCGGUAAUACGUAUGGGGCAAGCGUUAUCCGGAUUUAUUGGGCGUAAAGCGCGCGUAGGCGGCUUGUUAAGUCAGAUGUGAAAUCCGGGGGCUCAACCCGCGGCUUGCAUCUGAAACUGGCAGGCUUGAGUCUGGUAGAGGAAAGUGGAAUUCCUGGUGUAGCGGUGAAAUGCGCAGAUAUCAGGAGGAACACCAGUGGCGAAGGCGGCUUUCUGGGCCACGACUGACGCUGAGGCGCGAAAGCUAGGGGAGCGAACAGGAUUAGAUACCCUGGUAGUCCUAGCCGUAAACGAUGGGCACUAGGUGUGGGGGGUCAUCGACUCCCUCCGUGCCGAAGCUAACGCAUUAAGUGCCCCGCCUGGGGAGUACGGCCGCAAGGCUAAAACUCAAAGGAAUUGACGGGGGCCCGCACAAGCAGCGGAGCAUGUGGCUUAAUUCGACGCAACGCGAAGAACCUUACCAGGGCUUGACAUGCAGGGAAAAACGGCGGAAACGUCGUGUCCGCAAGGGCCCUGCACAGGUGGUGCAUGGCC
rnacentral:rRNA from 1 species